rnacentral:rRNA from 1 species
UACGGAGGGUGCAAGCGUUAUCCGGAUUCACUGGGUUUAAAGGGUGCGUAGGCGGGCAGGUAAGUCAGUGGUGAAAUCUCCAAGCUUAACUUGGAAACUGCCGUUGAUACUAUCUGUCUUGAAUACUGUGGAGGUGAGCGGAAUAUGUCAUGUAGCGGUGAAAUGACUUAGAUAUGACAUAGAACACCAAUUGCGAAGGCAGCUCACUACACAGCCAUUGACGCUGAGGCACGAAAGCGUGGGGAUCAAACAGG